rnacentral:rRNA from 1 species
CCUACGGGCGGCAGCAGUCGAGAAUCAUUCACAAUGGGGGAAACCCUGAUGGUGCGACGCCGCGUGGGGGAAUGAAGGUCUUCGGAUUGUAAACCCCUGUCAUGUGGGAGCAAAUUAAAAAGAUAGUACCACAAGAGGAAGAGACGGCUAACUCUGUGCCAGCAGCCGCGGUAAUACAGAGGUCUCAAGCGUUGUUCGGAAUCCCUGGGCGUAAGGCGUGCGUAGGCUGUUUCGUAAGUCGUGUGUGAAAGGCGCGGGCUCAACCCGCGGACGGCACAUGAUACUGCGAGACUAGAGUAAUGGAGGGGGAACCGGAAUGCUCGGUGUAGCAGUGAAAUGCGUAGAUAUCGAGAGGAACACUCGUGGCGAAGGCGGGUUCCUGGACAUUAACUGACGCUGAGGCACGAAGGCCAGGGGAGCGAAAGGGAUUAGAUACCCCAGUAGUC